rnacentral:RNase_P_RNA from 1 species
CAGCCGGACCGGACGGUCGCUCGUCGUAAGACGGGAGGAAAGUCCGAACUCCGCAGAGCAGUGUGCCGGAUAACGUCCGGGACGGCCGGUUCAAGCCGGUUGGACGGAAAGUGCCACAGAAAACAUACCGCCCGGGCCGCAAGGCUCAGGUAAGGGUGAAAAGGUGCGGUAAGAGCGCACCGCCGACGCAGUAAUGCGGCGGGCAGGGCAAACCCCACACGGAGCAAGACCAAAUAGGGAGGAAGUUCCUGAGAAGCUUCGGUUUCGCAGGGGCGCGUGCCGGCUCGGUGCGCCACAACCUCCGGGUAGGUCGCUUGAGCCGCGCAGUAAUGCGUGGCCCAGAGGAAUGACCGUCCCGCAGCAUUCAUGUUGCGGACAGAAUUCGGCUUACAGGUCCGGCUGCCAC